AUAUCAGUCAUGCAUAGCAUAUCAAUAAGCGGAGGAAAAGAAAACUAACUAGGAUUCCCUUAGUAACGGCGAGUGAAGCGGGAAGAGCUCAAAUUUGAAAUCUUCAAGGUUUUACCUUGACGAAUUGUAGUUUAAAGAAGUGUUUUCUGUUGGAGUUUUGGUAAAAGUUCUUUGGAAUAGGACAUCAUAGAGGGUGAGAAUCCCGUAUUUGACCAUUACUUUCCAACUUUGUGAUACACUUUCAAAGAGUCGGAUUGUUUGGGAAUGCAGUCCAAAAUGGGUGGUAAAUUUCAUCUAAAGCUAAAUAUUGGCGAGAGACCGAUAGCGAACAAGUACCGUGAGGGAAAGAUGAAAAGAACUUUGAAAAGAGAGUUAAACAGUACGUGUAAUUGUCAAAAGGGAAGCGUUUGACACCAGUGUUGUUUUAGUUGAAAAUCAAUUCAAUAAUUUGGGGAUUUUGAGUAGUAUUGACUUCAUCAGCUUUCUGCACUUUUCUUUUCAGAUUAUUGAAUGCACUUUUCAGUUUAACAAGUCAACAUCAAUUUCUUUUGUUGUAAAAAGGUAAGAGGAAGGUGGCUUGACGCUUCGGCGUAAGUGUUUAUAGCCUUUUACCUCUGCAAUCGGAGAGAUUGAGGACUAGCAGCGUAGACUCCUUUCGGGGUUAGAUACAGUUUGUGCUAAGCUUAUAGCCUUGUAUAGACAACUUGUUGACUAUACUCAGUCAUGUAGGCUUACUCGCAGUAUAGCUAUUUUACCUACGCUUAGGAUGUUGAUGUGAUACUGCGAGCA
rnacentral:rRNA from 1 species